rnacentral:rRNA from 1 species
UACGUAGGGGGCAAGCGUUGUCCGGAUUUAUUGGGCGUAAAGAGCGUGUAGGCGGCUUGGUAGGUCCGCUGUGAAAACUCGAGGCUCAACCUCGAGAUGUCGGCGGAAACCACUUGGCUAGAGUCCGGAAGAGGAGAGUGGAAUUCCUGGUGUAGCGGUGAAAUGCGCAGAUAUCAGGAGGAACACCAGUGGCGAAGGCGGUUCUCUGGGCCUUACCUGACGCUGAGGAGCGAAAGCGUGGGGAGCGAACAGG